rnacentral:tRNA from 1 species
UAUAUUUUAGUGUAAGAUGCACAAUAAAUUUUGAUUUUAUUAGAUGUAGUUUAAUUCUAUAGAAUAUAA